GACGAACCGUGCGAACGUUAUUCGGAAUCACUGGGCUUAAAGCGCGUGUAGGCGGCCCGGCACGUCCGUCGCUGAAAUCCCCCGGCUCAACCGGGGAAGUGGCGUGGAUACGACCGGGCUGGAGGGGGGUAGGGGGAGCCGGAACUUCCGGUGGAGCGGUGAAAUGCGUUGAGAUCGGAAGGAACGCCCGUGGCGAAAGCGGCUCGCUGGGCCGGUCCUGACACUGAGGCGCGAAGGCGUGGGGAGCGAACGGG
rnacentral:rRNA from 1 species